rnacentral:rRNA from 1 species
UACGUAGGGGGCGAGCGUUGUCCGGAGUUAUUGGGCGUAAAGCGCGCGCAGGCGGUCUAGCCAGUCUGGAGUGACAGUUCCCGGCUCACCUGGGAAAGGUCUUCGGAAACUGCUAGACUUGAGGGACUCAGAGGGAGACGGAGUUCCAGGUGGAGCGGUGAAAUGCGUAGAGAUCUGGAGGAACACCAAAGGCGAAGGCAGUCUCCUGGGAGUUACCUGACGCUCAGGCGCGAAAGCCAGGGGAGCGAACGGG